rnacentral:rRNA from 1 species
CACCUCUAGCUAACAACAUAUAUUAGAGGCACUGCCUGCCCAGUGACUACGUUCAACGGCCGCGGUAUUCUGACCGUGCAAAGGUAGCAUAAUCACUUGUCUUUUAAAUUAAGACUAGUAUGAACGGCAACACGAAAGCCUAACUGUCUCCUUUAUCCAGUCAAUGAAAUUGAUCUUCUCGUGAAAAAGCGAGAAUACAUUAACAAGACGAGAAGACCCUAUGGAACUUUAAACACAUUAACCACUUUUUCAUUUUACCUACUAUACAAUAUAAAAAAUCUGGUAUACUGUUUUUGGUUGGGGUGACCAAGGAGAAAAAUAUAACCUCCAUGAACCACACUAAGACUAACAUAAUCAAAGUAUUAAAAUUUUAAAUUUAUGACCCAAUAAACUUGAUCAACGAACCAAGCUACCCUAGGGAUAACAGCGCAAUCUUCUCCAAGAGCCCAUAUCGCCAAGAAGGUUUACGACCUCGAUGUUGGAUCAGGAUUACCAGACAGUGCAGCCGCCGUCAAAGGUUUGUUUGUUCAACAAUUAAAAUCCUACGUGAUCUGAGUUCAGACCGGAGUAAUCCAGGUCAGUUUCUAUCUAUUCAAUAAUCCAUUUUAGUACGAAAGGACCAAAUGGAUAAAGCCAAUAUAUAAUACAAGCUUCAACAUAAUUAAUGAUUUAGACUAAAUUUAAUUAUAAAAUAUACCUCUAAAACAGAGCUUU